rnacentral:rRNA from 1 species
AGGACCCGUCUUGAAACACGGACCAAGGAGUCUAACAUGUGCGCGAGUCAUUGGGACUUGUUAAGCCUAAAGGCGCAAUGAAAGUGAAGGUCGGCCUUAGCGCCGACCGAGGGAGGAUGGCUCGUGUCACGAUGCGAGCCCGCACUCCCGGGGCGUCUCGUGCUCAUUGCGAGCAGAGGCGCACCCAGAGCGUACACGUUGGGACCCGAAAGAUGGUGAACUAUGCCUGGUCAGGACGAAGUCAGGGGAAACCCUGAUGGAGGUCCGUAGCGAUUCUGACGUGCAAAUCGAUCGUCGGAACUGGGUAUAGGGGCGAAAGACUAAUCGAACCAUCUAGUAGCUGGUUCCCUCCGAAGUUUCCCUCAGGAUAGCUGGCACUCGCUUGAGCGAGUCUCAUCUGGUAAAGCGAAUGAUUAGAGGCCUUGGGGCCGAAACGACCUCAACCUAUUCUCAAACUUUAAAUGGGUGAGAUCUCUGGCUUGCUUGAACGUUGAAGCCACGAGAUUUAAACUAUUGGAUCAGAGUGCCAAGUGGGCCAAUUUUGGUAAGCAGAACUGGGCGCUGUGGG